rnacentral:rRNA from 1 species
GACGAACGCUGGCGGCGUGCUUAACACAUGCAAGUCGAACGGAAAGGCCCUGCUUGCAGGGUACUCGAGUGGCGAACGGGUGAGUAACACGUGGGUGAUCUGCCCUGCACUUCGGGAUAAGCCUGGGAAACGGGGUCUAAUACCCGAAAGGAGCCAUGUUGAGAGUGAGGGUUGGAAAGUUUUUUCGGUGUUGGAUGAGCUCGCGGCCUAUCAGCUUGUUGGUGGGGUAAUGGCCUACCAAGGCGGCGACGGGUAGCCGGCCUGAGAGGGUGGACGGCCACCCUGGGUCUGAGGGACGGCCCAGACGCCGACGGGAGGCAGCUGUGCGGAAUCUUGCACAAUGGGCGCAAGCCUGAUGCAGCGACGCCGCGUGGGGGAUGACGGCCUUCGUGUUGUGAACUCCUUUCGCUAGGGACGAAGCUUUUUGUGACGUUACCUAGAUAAGAAGCACCGGCUAACUACGUG